GCCGCUUACCAGAUUUUCGUCGAGUGUUAUCAAUGCUUAACCCUUUAUAAGGCCGAGAAAACUAGAACAGUUGUCAACGCAUACUAUUAUGGAAAUGAUUAUAUACAUGAUUACAUGUACAAAACAAUGUUUGUUUGAAAGAAACUCUCAAAAAUUUAGGUGGCAAUAUAGUUGACACUGCCCGUUGAGCCCAAAAACGCUGGUGGCAAUAUAGUUGCCACUGCCCGUUUACCCCAAAAACGAGCUUUUGAGGUGGCAAUAUAGUUGCCACUGCCCGUUUAGGCCACCAGCGCUGGUGGCAAUAUUCUUGCCACUGCCCGUUUAGGGUACUUUUCUUCUUUUGACUUCGACAAAAAGCCAAAAAAGAGAUUUUAGAGUGGAUUAGGGCAUAACCCAUAAUAUAAACUUGUAGUUCAGCUCAUGUCUGUAGUAGCCAGAGGUGUCAGCUUAUGAGUUGUAUAUUUUGAGAGUUUGGACAAUUUGAAAGUCUUAUUAUACCGUGUGCGAUUAUCAUUAUUUUAGCGUGCACGAAUGAAUGCUUGUGAACGUGCUCUAGAAACGCUAACGCUAACUUGUCACCUUGCGUGCGAGAUGUAACAGAAACGUCAAUCAUGUGCUGGAUGGAAAUUUAGAUGUACUUCAGUUUAGUGAACGUUGUUGUGACGGACGGACGUCCGUGUUGGUUUGUGGUGAAGGCAGUGGAAAAAAAAAUCGGCUGAUGGCGGAUCAGCCGAAAAAGAGUGCUCGGACACCACAAUGGCGCAGCUGGUGUGGAAACAUUGCGCUCUCACGGGAAGGCUGUAACAAUGGAAUAUUUAAGUUGGUUUCGAAAAACGGAUCCUCCGGUAAGACUCCCUGCCUGAAAAGCAGUGGAGUAGGCCGGAAGGAGAAAAACGGAUCCCCCGGUAAGACUCCCUGCCUGAUCAACAGCAGAGUAGGCCGGAAGGAAAAAAAAAAGGAUCCCCCGGAAAGACUCGCUGCCUCAGCAGCAGCAGAGUAGGCCGGAAGAAAAAAAAAGGAUCCCCCGGUAAGACUCCCGCCUGAAAAGCAGUGGAGUAGGCCGGAAGGUGAAAAACGGAUCCUCCGGUAAGACUCCCUGCCUGAAAACUAGUGGAGUAGGCCGUAAGUUGAAAACGAAUCCCCCGGUAAGACUCCCUGCCUGAACAGCAGCAGAGUAGGCCGGAACAUGGAAUAACAGAUUCCCCCGUAAGACUUCCUGCCAAAACGGCAAUGGAGUAGACCGGGAGGUAAGAUCACAGACAAACAGAUAAUGUGAUGAUGAUCACAGACAAACAGAUGAUGUGAUGAUGAUCACAGACAAACAGACAAUGUGAUGAUGAUCACAGACAAACAGAUGAUGUGAUGAUGAUCACAGACAAACAGGUGAUGUGAUGAUGAUCACAGACAAACAGAUAAUGUGAUGAUGAUCACAGACAAACAGACGAUGUGAUGAUGAUCACAGACAAACAGACGAUGUGAUGAUGAUCACAGACAAACAGACGAUGUGAUGAUGAUCACAGACAAACAGAUGAUGUGAUGAUGAUCACAGACAAACAAAUGAUGUGAUGAUGAUCACAGACAAACAAAUGAUGUGAUGAUGAUCACAGACAAACAGACGAUGUGAUGAUGAUCACAGACAAACAGAUGAUGUGAUGAUGAUCACAGACAAACAGACGAUGUGAUGAUGAUCACAGACAAACAGAUGAUGUAAUGAUGAUCACAGACAAACAGAUGAUGUGAUGAUGAUCACAGACAAACAGACAAUGUGAUGAUGAUCACAGACAAACAGACGAUGUGAUGAUGAUUACAGACAAACAGAUGAUGUAAUGAUGAUCACAGACAAACAGAUGAUGUGAUGAUGAUCACAGACAAACAGACGAUGUGAUGAUGAUCACAGACAAACAGACGAUGUGAUGAUGAUCACAGACAAACAGAUGAUGUGAUGAUGAUCACAGACAAACAGAUGAUGUGAUGGUGAUCACAGACAAACAGACAAUGUGAUGAUGAUCACAGACAAACAGACGAUGUGAUGAUGAUCACAGACAAACAGACAAUGUGAUGAUGAUCACAGACAAACAGACGAUGUGAUGAUGAUCACAGACAAACAGAUGAUGAUCACAGACAAACAGAUAAUGUGAUGAUGAUCACAGACAAACAGACAAUGUGAUGAUAAUCACAGACAAACAGAUGAUGUGAUCAUGAUCAAAAACAGACGAUGUGAUAAUCAUCACGUGAUGACGAUCACAGACAAACAGAUGAUGACGAUGAUCAUGGACAAAUAGAUGAUGUGAUGAUGAUCACAGACAAACAGACAAUGUGAUGAUGAUCACAGAAAAAUAGACGAUGUGAUGAUGAUCACAGACAAACAAUGUGAUGAUGAUCACAGACAAACAGACAAUGUGAUCACAGACAAACAGAUGAUGUGAUGAUGAUCACAGACAAACAGACAAUGUGAUGAUGAUCACAGACAAACAGAUGAUGUGAUGGUGAUCACAGACAAACAGACAAUGUGAUGAUGAUCACAGACAAACAGAUGAUGUGAUGAUGAUCAAACACAGAUGAUGUGAUAAUGAUCACAGACAAACAGACGAUGACGAUGAUCACAGACAAACAGAUAAUGACGAUAAUCACAGACAAACAGACAAUGUGAUGAUGAUCACAGACAAACAGACGAUGUGAUGAUGAUCACAGACAAACAGACGAUGUGAUGAAGAUCACAGACAAACAGACGAUGUGAUGAUGAUCACAGACAAACAAUGUGAUGAUGAUCACAGACAAACAGACAAUGUGAUGAUGAUCACAGACAAACAGAUGAUGUGAUGAUGAUCACAGACAAACAGACAAUGUGAUGAUGAUCACAGACAAACAGACGAUGUGAUGAUGAUCACAGACAAACAGACGAUGUGAUGAUCACAAACAAACAGACGAUGUGAUGAUGAUCACAGACAAACAGACGAUGUAAUGAGGAUAUUUUUUUAUUCAGGACAAGAGUGGAGAAGAAGGCGGAUGUAGUAGCCAGAGGUGUCAGCUUAUGAGUUGUAUAUUUUGAGAGUUUGGACAAUUUGAAAGUCUUAUUAUACCGUGUGCGAUUAUCAUUAUUUUAGCGUGUACGAAUGAAUGCUUGUGAACGUGCUCUCGAAACGCUAACGCUAACUUGUCACCUUGCGUGCGAGAUGUAACAGAAACGUCAAUCAUGUGCUGGUGCUGGAUGGAAAUUUAGAUGUACUUCAGUUUAGUGAACGUUGUUGUGACGGACGGACGUCCGUGUUGGUUUGUGGUGAAGGCAGUGGAAAAAAAAUCGGCUGAUGGCGGAUCAGCCGAAAAAGAGUGCUCGGACACCACAAUGUCAACCCACAAUUUGAUUAUUUCUUAAAAUAUUUACCAAAUCUAUAAUUUUACAAUAAGUUUAAGCUAAUUUUCUUCUCGUGGUCAAAUUUAGCCAUUUUUGAGACUACAAAUGGCUCCCAAAUUGUUGUUAAAGCUUUGUUUAGUACCAAAAAAAUACCAGGCGUUGUUAGUAAUCCCAAUUUUGCGUAAACCAAAAAUAAAGUUCGAAAUAAAUUGUUAUAAAACAGAAAAAAAAUACAAACAGUAGGUGGCAAUAUAGUUGCCACUGCCUUAUAAAGGGUUAACAAAUUUCUUUGUGUUCAACUGUCACCCUGAUCAACGAAUGUCAAAAAUACAUGGUAAACAAAUAAAAUCAGCUGAUCGCAUCUGUCUCAUGGAUUGCCUUAUUGGUUCCCUUAAUAAGCAUGUGGCUCCCAUUUUCAUCCUACGGAAAACAGAGGAUUGAAGCGCUGUUUGUUUUGUUUCUUAUUUUUGUAUUUUUUUUUUGUUAGAAGUGACCACGCCGAGCACGCAUGAAAACGAAAAGAACGGAAUCAAUCGGAGCCGUAAUCGCUUGUUUUCGAAUAGAAUGAAUAUGGGAGCUGAGAUUACUGAUGGAUCUCAUACCCUAUUUGACCAUGUACACUAACGGGUCUGUGUUAUUUGGCAUAAAGUACCAGGGUGCGAGGCCGCCAUUUUUAAGAAUCCAACAUCUUGUAUGUAAACAUUUGUGUAUCCAUGAAGCAUUCCAUUGUGGAUACACGAUACAUGUUGGCUCCUGUCAGAUGCAUUAGGUAGGAUUAGGGUUACCACAUACGUGGCAUAAAGACAUUUGGCAUAAUAAAGAAGGGUGCAUUUCGAUUAUGCAAAAUUACUGAUCAUAAUGCCAAGUGACGUUAUGCCAAAUGUCCCGCACCCUGCACUAGGCGCCGUCCACAAAUUACGUAACGCUGUUGGGGAAGGGGGGGGGAGUACGGCCGAGCGUCACGGCCCAUACAAAAAUUUUAGGAGUUUCAUACAAAAAAAAACAUUACGGAGGGGGAGGGUGGUCAAAAAAUGUCGAUUUAAGCGUUACGUAAUAAAUGGAUGCUGCCCUAACAGCUUUAGUUUUAUUCAGAGCAACAGAACAGCAACAGAUUUGAAAUGUAUAAACUAUAGACACUAUAGAUUCCAUAGACUCGCGGAGACAUGGUUGGGCAAUACGAUUUCAGUGUGUUUUACCGUGAAUUUAGAGUGUACCGAGCGAAUAUGCAUUGUCGCUACAUAUUGAAAUCGUGACCCAAGGAACAAUUCAAAGUCAUAAAUAAGCAUGCAUGUCGAACUAUUGCUGGUUUAUAACAUUUGCAGCUGAACAAAACCAAAUGCUGAAUAAUAAGCUGAAAUGAUGCUAUUUACAUUGUAAAUAAGACAAAAUGCAACAUUUGGCACGUAUGUGAACAGCAAUUUUGUUUAAAAAGCUUAACAAAUGUCAGCAAUUUUUGUUUGUUCGAUUCGCCCUUACUAGCUGUAAUAUAAGCUGAAGAAGAAGCUUAAAAAGCUUAUGUUCCACAGUUUCCAAAAGCUGAUUAUUGUGGUCCACAUAGGUUGAACAAAUGCUUUUGAUGUUUAAUACUUCAGCUAUUGUGGGAACGUUCAGUAAUGGUUAUAACAGUACAGCUUACUGUUAGCUGAAUAAACGGAUUUAUGAUUUAUUUGUUCGAUUAUCACUUUUCGUUUGAACAGAUCAAAGUGAUUAUAAUAGAGCAGUACUCAUGGCAGUAUACUGGAACGUUCCUCAUUAUUAAAUGAUUUUUGUUGCACACCAAUGCGAAAUAUUCGAAACAUUCGCUAAUUUUCAUAGCAAUUUCAAAAUUGUAGUCAUCUUCACAACUUUUUUUUAAAUAAAUAUUUACAACCUUUCAUAAAUCUGAAUAUUGAUCUUUCACAGUUAGUGAAGAUGUUUCACUCUCAGCGAGCAUCUUACCAAUUCCAGGAUGGCGUAAUCGGUAAGGCAUGCGACGGGUGAUUGGGAGAUCACGAGUUCAAAUUCCAAGUUGAGAAAUUUAUAGAAGAGCUGGUCCCGGUCAACCAUUUCACAAAUUUCGUUAAAGUUCUUUACCAAAAUAUAAAGAAUAACGUCGACUAUUCUUUAGUGAUUAUUACUUUAUAUAUAUUCAAACAACUUCAUCGAUCGAUAACGAAACUUGAAAAAUGUCCUUUAUCGGUCAAAAGAUAAAAACCUUUACCGAAACGUAACUUAAUUUCGUUAAAUUUCAUGUUGUCGCUUGAACUUUGGUUUUCUUCGUGAAUAUUUAUCGGAACAUAUUCAAUUUCCGAUAUCAACGUAACUUUGCAUAUUGAUAUCGAAGAACAAAGAUUAGUCACGACACUCCUUUACCGUUCUGUUCGGUAUCGUUGGGUGAAGCUGAGUAAAGGUGUUCUGAUAUCUCAUAUGACAGGAGCAAUGUUUUGGUUUUGCUCGAAUUAGAAAAAAAUAAAAUGAAACCAAGGAUAAAUCAAGACGGUUACUCCUUGGAUUUCUCCGAGCACGAAAAUUCCUUGGAAAAUGCUUCCUAGGUCCGGAUUAGGCCACAGCUCACCGGAUUGCUCCCCCGGGACAGCAAUAUCAGCAGAAAUACAUAUUGGUAGGUAUUCUGGACAUUUUAUUGGCAGUAGGAAGCCACCGCCGUGUUGCAUUAUUUCCGUUCACCGGCAAAACUCACUCCGUUCGGGAACCCUGUGAAAGAUCCGAACUUUAUUUGAUAAAUUAUGUUUUAUUUGAUUAAUUAUGGUUUCUCAAUAUGAUGUUUAUUCAGUUCGUCAAAGCCGGAUACAUUUUUUAAUAAUUCUGUUGUGGCUUCGGAAACUGCUAAAGGCUAGUAAUUUGUUGGGUAUUUGAAUGCAUUUGGCCACCCAUAAUCAUUGUAAUACCGUGUGACUCAGUAAGUAACUAUAUCAACAUAACAUCUCCCAGUUCCUAUAAAUGUAAGUUCAAUUCCCAAUUUAGGAAAUGAUUACAAAAAAAAUCAUAAUAAACAUGAACAGGAAGAGUGGGUGGUGGGUGAGGUGGCUUUUUUUUAGUUUUUUUGAUUGAUUAUGACAGGUCGGUAAAGUAGAACCCACUAUUUUUAAUAUCGAUGUGUCGUCAAAAAUAUUUAUCAAUCGAUAUCGAGGUAACUUGGUUGUUAUUUAAAUUUCUUUAUGAAACGAUGUCGAUCGCUAUCGAUUUUCGGUAUGAACGUCUUUAAAGGUCGUUAUAAAGAAAUGUAAAGAUUUUUAAAGAAAUGGUUGAUCGGGGUGGGAGCUGAUCGCAUCUGUCUCAUGGAUUCCCUUAUAUCCUAUUUGUUUAAAAAGAAAUCAAUGCUCAAAUAUCUUGUUUGACUCGAUCGAAUUUUUAUUAGUGUCAAACUAAUGUUUGAGUUCUUUCCUUGUCAAAUAUUUGACCUUCUGUCCAGGCCUAAGCAACGCGUUGGGAGCUGUUUGUAGGGCCAGUAGUACACAGGGUAAAAUAUUUGACAAGGAAAGAACUCAAGAAACAACAUCAGUUUGACACUAAUGAAAAUUCGAUCGAGUCAAACAAGAUGUUUGAGCAUUGGUUUCUUUUUGGACAAAUAUUUGACCCUGUGUACUAGCCACGGUGUGUUUUGUAGAACAACUUUAUUAUAAAAAAAUAAGUAAGUCUGAAAUUUUGCCCAAUGAUACUUUGGGCCAUUCCCUUCAAUUUGCUGGGUCGGAGGAAAACAUCCAUCGGGGGGUCUCGAACAAAAAUUUUUUUUGAAGGUUUUACAUGCAAAAACUAUUAUUAACGCAUAUUGCAUCUCCUACAGAUAGUCACAUUUUUUUUGUCUUUGAAGAUAGGACCAUAAAAUUUUCAGGCGUUUAGAAGUUGUAUGCGUAGAUGACUGUGUGAAAAUUUCAUUGAACUAUGUUGAAUGGUUUUCAAAUAAUAGCAAAUCUAUCAAACGCAUUCCAAAAUACUAAGCUUAGUAGCAAAAGUCCAACAAAAUAUCUUUAUUUUUUUUAUGUAAUAAUACAUGAAACAUAUUCAAUUCUAAGUACCUUAAGUCUUUAUGAUGGCGGUAAUGUGAAAACUUGUUUUUCAAAUGAUGAACAUGUACAUAGUCAAAUACAUGGAAGUAAAACACACACACUGCCAUUAUGUAGCUUUUCACUAGAGUAUUAUAUAUUUAUUUCAAGAACGUGGUUUUCCGUAUACAAGUUCAUUUUCUCCAUUUUUUUUAAAUGAUUAAGGUCUUAUCUAAGUAUCAAAUUGCAGGCGAAAGGCUUUAGGGGAGCGUGUCGCAAUAAUUUAGAUAACAAAAAAAACUCUGGAGCUCGAUUUGAAUAGGUCGUAUGUGCUUUUGUCGAUCAAAAAUUCGAUCAGUUGGAUUCGCUUAUUAUAGCGAAAACCGUUGAAAUUGAGCAAGUUUAUACAUACAGCAGAAUCCUCACAAAACAGGCUUUCUGUUCCAUCAUUAAAAGUUUGCAAAAUAUCUGCCAAAUUGCUACAAUGGCUAAAAUAAACUGAUCGAAUUUUAUAUCGACAAAAGCACAUACGACCUAUUCAAAUCGAGCUCCAGAACUGUUUGUUAUUUUUUUCGUUUAUAAAGUUUCACGUUGAAAAUAUUCUACUAGUAAACGACGCCCUAACAAUGAUCAAUCACUCUUCCAGAAAAUAUUUUUUGAGACAUCAUAUGCAAAUCGAAAAGACUAUUUAAAUCAUUUUUAUCAAAUUGUUUUUCCUAGGCUUUAUGCUGAACAGCCUAAAUUUCAUACUUAAUGUAGAAACAUUGUCAAUAAGUAGGGUAUAUGUACCAUUCCUUGGCCUAAUUUGCAAGCCGCCUUGACAAUUUUGACCAUAACUCAUGAAUUAAUAGCACUAGAAAUAAUAUGUCGACCCUAUUACACACUCUAGGCAAUGCAUGUUUCACCAAUUGGAAGUAAACUUGCGUAAAUAUUCAAGAUUUUACUUAAUUAAGUUGAAAAGAUUCGAUGCGAUGGUAUGCAACGUUGGUCUAUGGUACAAAAAUUGGCCUAUUAGUGGAUACAACGUUGGCCUAUUGCUAUCCAUGCACUAGAACCACUAAUUAUCUCAUUUUUUCAAUAUUUCUGCUGAAGAAUUAUCUCUGUUUGUUCACCAAUCUUACUUUUAAAUUAUAUUUUCGGAGCCAAAUUUUCAAAAAACUAUAAAUAAAUCACUUUAACUAAAGUUCUUUCUUAAUUUAUUAACAAAAACAAUGCAACCCUAUUAUUGUGUUAUAUUUUUACAGUCACCGCACACAAAAUCUUUCUUCCUGUUUGUUCUUUCUGGUUCUUACGCAAGAAAUGCUGUUGACUUCUUUUUAUCGGUGUUUUUGACGUCACUUUACUGAUGGGCCAAGAUUUGGGUACAUAGUGAAAAAAAUGUCCUCAAUAUUCGGCCCACAUUCAAUUUGUUAAAUAGUUAUUAUUCGUUGAAAACAAAUACACAAGUUCAAAAUAGCGUCUUUGACCGUCGCAUCAAAUGUUCAGUUAUUGAAAAGUCAAUUCGAAAUGUUUCAGAAUCAUGGCAUUUAUGAUCAUGUGUAUAGACUACCCACUAAGCCGAAGAAUCAUGGCGUCUUCAAAAGCUAAACAAAGUGACAUUUUCAUUCAAUUUUAAUGUUCCAAAGUGCUAAAAUUGAAACGAAAUGUUGCAGUUGUUUGGCGCAUGGCUUUUCCGAUAUCCAGUUAUGCGUGUUUGUUUGAGUUUUUGGUUUACAUUGAGAUAGGCCGAACGAGGGGACCAUGCCAACGAAGCAUCCCGAUACCCUACUCCGUUCUUUCAACUAUUCUUUCAGUACUUAUUAUCAGUUAUUUGUUAAUAAAUGGUGGCAUAAGCAAAAAGCAUCAUACUGCUAUUAAAUUCAAAAACAAACUUAAGUUUAGGUCCAACAGCUAUGUCAAAUAUCGUGGAAUAAUCCGAAAACUAUGUUUAGUACCGUAGAGUUGCCCUUGAUCGAAUAUUGCCCUACUGAAUUCUGUUUUGAAUUCAGUUCUCGUUAUUGUGUCCUUCAAGACAGUGGUUUAAUGUAGACUCAUACCCACAACUUCAAUGUUGUUAUGAGAUCUUUAACAGAGUGAACUUGUUUUUAUUCUUUGACUAAGGUGAAAUACUAUUCAAUUUUGACCUUGUAAACAUUAAUUCCAAAAUAAUUUAAUUUCUGUACUCGAAACAGAGAUGUUUCCCAAUCCUCGAGUGCUUUUCUUGGCUUCAUAAAUAACAUUCUAAUAUUUUUGUUUUAGGGAAGGCCGACAUGCUCAACAAUCAUGAUAAUUGUGUUUAUUAUAGGAUUCGUAAUAGAGGCAUACUUGUACUUGUCAACAUGUAUACGCAAAACCACGUUCUUGAAAUAAAUAUAUAAUACUUUAGUAAAAAGCUACAUAAUGGCAGUGUAUGUGUGUUCUCCUUUCAUGUAUUUGACUAUGUACAUGUUCAUCAUUUGAAAAACAAGUUUUCACAGUACCGCCAUCAUAAUGACUCAAUGUGCUUAGAAUUAAAUAUUUUUCAUGCAUUAUUAUAUAAAAAAUAUAGAUAUUUUGUUGGACUUUUGCUACUAAGCUUAGUAUUUUGGAAUGCGUUUGAUAGAUUUGCUAUUAUUUGAAAACCAUUCAACAUAGUUCAAUGAAAUUUUCACACAGUCAUCUAUGCAUACAACUUCGAAACGCCUGAAAAUUUUAAUAAAAAGUUGUGACUGUCUGUAGUAGAUGCAAUAAUUUACAAUAUGCGCUUUUAAUAGUUUUUGCAUGAAAAACCUUCAAAAAAAAAUUUUGUUCUAGACCCCCCGAUGGAUGUUUUCCUCCGUCCCAGCAAAUUGAAGGGAAUGGCCCAAAGUAUCAUUGGGCAAAAUUUCAGACUUACUUAUUUUUUUGUUUUAAAGUUGCUCUAUAAACACACCGUGAUAGCAGCUUAGGUUAUACUAACGAGCCUGGAUAAAACAAAGAGGAGAAACGUCAAAAUUGGAACAGUCGAUCUAGUGCCAUUCCCAUAGUUCCAAUCGAUCAGGAGACCUGUCAAAACGACAAGGAUUCUCCACUUUGGUAUACUCGAGACGAGACACUUUAGGUUAUACAUACUUCAAAUACAACAUGGCUUGGUCAGCCAAAGCAAAAUCAAUAAGCUGCCAUCUUUGAGUUCAACAGGUUUCAUGAAAUCGCCCAAAACUGACAAAAAUACGUAAGCUCCCCUAGGUGCAAAUUUAAACUAAUGAACAACAUCUUCAUAACCCCUUUCGUAUUUAGCCUCAAGUUAGAGACUAAAGAAGGGCAGCUGAUUGUCUCGGAAAAACACAAGGUCCACUGCAAUGGGUUUUAGGAGCGUUGUAUGAAGUUUCAGGGACGUCCCAGGAAAUUUCAGAAGCGUUUUUAGGGAAUCAGGAGCGCUCCAGGGUUUUAAAAACAGUUUUAAAGGGUCUCAGGAGUAUUCCAGAAGUGCUCCAGGAGGUUUCAGCGUCGUUCUAUGGGGUUUCAGAAUAGAGUUAAUAAACUAUAGAGGACGAAUGUCGCUGCUGUUCCCUUUGUUCUCGUUCGCAAACAUCCCGGGUAUCUAUCUGUCAAACUGCAUACUUUUUUCGCGUUGACACUUAUAUCCCUCCCUAUCUUCGCCAGCAAGAGAUGUUGCGGCGGCGACGCCAGCGACAUUCUCCCUCUAUAGUUUAUUACCUCUAUUGGUUUCAGAGAUGUUCCAUGGUGUUCCAAUGGGUUUUAGGGGCUUUCAGAAGCGUUCCAGGGGUUUUCAAUUUGUUUCAGUGGUGUUCCAGAGGGUACCAGGGACUUUAUAGGGGUUCAUGGGGCGUUUCAUGCGAUGUCAGGGAGUUUCCUAAGCGUUCCGGGAGUUUUUAUGCGAUUUCCAGGGUGCUCCAGGGGAUAUAUCCUUGACAUCACCUGAAACCACAAAAAAACCUUGAAACUCCUCCAGUUUCACGUGAAAGCCCUUUAAACUUACUCUAAAUCAAAUUUUGAAAUUGGCCAUUAAAUCGAUGAACGAUGGGAAUUAUUAGAGUGUUACGUCUGUUUGUAUGUGAUGUUAUUAACGAACAUUUUAAAUCUUCUAAGUUAUGAUCUUCACAACCAGAGGCGCGCGCAUCGUUUUUCUUCGUGUUGGACGUUUCACACUAGCGCCCUAGCACCGUCAUAGAACAUUGCUAUCAAUCACUCGCGUUUAUGGCUGAUUUAUUAAAUAUUUUUCUCUCGCGGUGGACUGAGCAAGGCCACAACAUCCCAGGACUUUAUGGCGCAUUUUUCCGGGGCAUAACGUCCAAACAUAUAGCCGAGGCCCAUAUAGCCGAGGCGGUAAACGCACGGGUAUUCAGCAUGACCAUGCUGAGGGUGACGGGUUCGAUUCCCGGUCGGUCCAGGAUCUUUUCGUAAAGGAAAUUUCUUUGACUUCCUUGGGCAUAGAGUAUCUUCGUGCCUGCCACACGAUAUACACAUGCAAAAUGGUCAUUGGCAGAGGAAGCUCUCAGUUAAUAACUGUGGAAGUGCUCAUAGAACACUAAGCUGAGAAGCAGGCUUUGUCCCAGUGAGGACGUUACGCCAAGAAGAGAGAGAACGUCCAAACAUGCAUAUACGUCACGAAAUCCUAGGAAAGAUGGCACAAAGGAUGUUACGACGCAUCCACAAAUUUUAAACGUUAUUUCGCGAGAACCACUCGGGAAACUGGCUAAGCGCCAGCAUGCUACCGUGAUGGACUCUCCAAAGCGAGUCAUCGAUGUUCGUUGCUGCAGCUAACCUUGAGGGUGCGAUGUGCACUAGCCCCUCUCUGCAGCAAUGCCUUCUUGGUGGUUCCGGAGAGACGAAGGGUUUGGCGACCAUAGGAAUGUGUCUUAGUGGAUCGAGGAUAGAGUAGUCCUGACUUUUACUUUUGUUGUAGAAGACGGCCUAAACCCCCACACUACCCUAACCUUCCUGUUGGGGUGUUUAUUGAGCAGAUUUUUCCCCCUAUGGUUUAGAAGAAAUUUUAGAUUAUCUAGGGUACCGAGCCCUUGGACAGUGGUUUCUAUUUUGGGAACUUUUCCGUUAUAAUUCCGCGCAAUUUUGAACCAAUUGAUUUGAAAUUUUGUAAACGGCUAGAUACACGGAACCAGAAAUUGUAAUUUGUAAUUGUAAUUGCUCAGUCCACACCCAGGCCGACAACUGUCAGCCCAUCUGCUUGUAGGCAGAUGUGGACCUACUAAGCCUCCCCCGUUAACAUGUCCUACACCGAAUUAGCACACCGGGAUCUUCCACAGGCAGGCGCUGGCGUUACCAGUCCCAACAAGUGUCAGAUACAUUAAAUAGAUGGGGUAGAGGAUAUAGGAAGAUGUGGGAAUAGGAUGGGAAGAGGCAGAAAAUGAAGAGAUAGUAGAGAGGUUUCGAUUUUGUUGCUGAAACGAGAAAAAGGAAGAAUGAUAAAGAACAUUAGCGAUAUGUUCAUAGAUUAUGAUUUGGUCGAUAAUUUCUCAUCUAUUUUGUUUCCAUAUCGUUGCAUCGGUGACAAUUUUCAUCUCCUUUCUAGUUUUUGUUAGGGCCAUCUCGCGUUUUUUCGUCAUGUCCUCUUUGCCGGUUGGCGACGUUCGGGAUUACUUCCAGCCCAUUUGUCCGCAGUACAUAUCAGGCAUCCCAUUUUAACAAGUCCUACACAGAAUUAGAAACCCGGAUCUCCCACAGACAGUCCUAACUAGUGUCAGAUAAGUUCAAUUGAGGAUAGGAAGCGGCAAAAUGAGAAGACAGUAGAGAAGGUUUGGUACAUUGGUAGCUGUGUUUAUGUGAUGUUUGUCUGACAUUGAAAAACUAUUAUCCGUUAGUGAUUAACUCUCUACCCCAAAUGUGAUACCGGAAAAAUAUCUGAUCAGAUGUAUAGUUUGGCAAUUCUAUGUCCAUACAUCUUUUAUCAAGAAGGAAUAAUGUUGUUUACUGUUAUAAAAUAAUUCAGUUAAAGGGCAGCUAAUGCAUUGUAAUCCAGAAUAAACCUACAGAAAAUGUCCCAAUAAAAAGUUAACACUAGUUCAACUA